CUAACUUCUAACUUUUAAAUUUUUGCCAUUUAAUUCUCGCACAUUAUCCUUCAUUAAUUUCAUGCUCACAAACACGGCCAAAAACGAAUACCUCUCGCACUUGUCUCGAACACAAAGGGUAAAUCGAAUCCGAAAUCACCAUUACCAACAUUCUGCUACACUUGGAUUCAUCUUCAACUUUAUCAGAUCAAAGAAGCCUCGAUUUGCUUCGGUUAUCUGCUGAAGGAGACGAAGAUGGAGCUGGAAGAAAUCAAAGGCAAUACGACUUCCACGGUGUACCCUUAACUUCUAUAGGUGAUGCAUACCAAGCCGAAAAAAUGCAGCAAUAGGAAGCAAGGGUGAAAGCUUGGUUCAGCAAAGAUUUUUGUGUAAUUCAGUUGAAGGUCAGCUUACUCGAGCCCAAUCCAUAGCUUCAAUUUCUAAUAUCAUCACCUGGAUCAAAUGUUGAAUCAAUAUCAUCAGAUGAGUUUUCAGUUAGACCAAUAUGUUGAACCAAUAUCAUCAGCAAACACUUCAAUUUCUAGCUUCUAUAAACUCUGGGUGGUAGACUGAAUGGUAACUCUGUUUUGAAGCGUUUCGAGAUCAAAAUAGGAAACUUGGAAUUGAUGCAUUGUGAAAGGGGUUAAGAAUGUACGACUUUUGUAUUGAAUAUAUUUGGAAUUAAGUAUUAAAUUGCAUUGAAUGUUAUUGAAUUUAUAUUGAUAGAAAAGUUUGAAUUAAUGAAAAGCUAGUUGUGUAUUAACUCUGAA